rnacentral:rRNA from 1 species
UAUUGGACAAUGGGCGAAAGCCUGAUCCAGCCAUGCCGCGUGUGUGAAGAAGGCCUUUUGGUUGUAAAGCACUUUAAGUGGGGAGGAAAAGCUUAUGGUUAAUACCCAUAAGCCCUGACGUUACCCACAGAAUAAGCACCGGCUAACUCUGUGCCAGCAGCCGCGGUAAUACAGAGGGUGCAAGCGUUAAUCGGAAUUACUGGGCGUAAAGCGCGCGUAGGUGGUUAUUUAAGUCAGACGUGAAAGCCCCGGGCUUAACCUGGGAACUGCAUCUGAUACUGGAUAACUAGAGUAGGUGAGAGGGGAGUAGAAUUCCAGGUGUAGCGGUGAAAUGCGUAGAGAUCUGGAGGAAUACCGAUGGCGAAGGCAGCUCCCUGGCAUCAUACUGACACUGAGUGCGAA